CCGGGUUUCCAGCCCGUUUGUCAGGCGGGAGCCCGGGCGAACGCGACGGAAACGCCACUUGGGGGGGCUCGGGCUCCUGCGAGGGACCUCCCCGCCCGCUCGGUAGGCGCAGGGAGGAGGCGCCGGGGAGAGAGGCCGGUAACUCUUAUUUUCCCAGGAUUCUCUCCCUUUCCCAGACUUUCAUAGCCUGACACACCUCUCAGACAGAAGGAAGAAUGACAGAGGAGGAAUAUUAUCCCAAGUUGCAUUAGGAACAGUGUCGUCAACUAUUAUAAAAGACAGGCUUUGCAUUCGGAGAGAUGUGCAGUGCCCCUUCCGGGCCUAACACCCCGCAGCUGAAGCAGAAAUGAAAACUCUGAAUUCCACCAGAAACACUCACAGAAGGGCCACAGGAAUGAGCAUUCUCCUUGAUCUUCUGAGUCAUCCCCUGAAGGAAGUUCUUCCAGUUUUCUCAGCUGGCAGCAGCAGAAGGAAGGACCAUUACUUCAUCGGUCUAUUCCAAGGCUCUCUUCUAGAAGUUGGAAAACACAAGGUGCUCGACACACCCUCCCGCCAAUCCCGAGUCUCCAGGAAUCCAUGCUGUGGGGAGGUGGGAAGUGGAGCUAAUAAGCCAACGGAUUGCUAAUGAAACGACCGAUGGAAACCAUAAAAACAUUCAGCUGCAUUACCCUAGAGAGCCACAAGAUGGCGACAUGUUCCUUAAUGACUUCAGGAUGGACAAGGGCCAGCGGGCCAGCUUCUCCCCAUGCUGACAACUGAUUCCAGUUCUCUUCCUGUGGUUCCCUUAGUUCAUUGGCUGGAAUUUCUCUGCACCCAUGCUUGGUUCCUUUCAGUGUGGCUCUAUCGUAAAACAAAACAGAAAUAUGUUCA